AGCAACCCGUGGGCGCAAGAAACCCUAGCUCUUUCUCCCUGCCCUCAUAUGCCGCCGCCACCCCCGCGAGGAGAGAACUUCGACAGCAGGCAUCCCCGUUAGAUUCCCCUCGCGAUCUAGACCACCUCCUCUCGUCCGGCUCCCUUUCGCUGCGCGCUCACCGGAUCUGGUCGUAGAAGACAAUUUCGGGCAUCCCCAGGCUAGGCCGGCCGUCCAACGGCCUCGAGCCUGUCUUCUCCCGACGACAUCAGUCGAGUCAGUGCGGUUACUGAUGGCGUCCGCCACAGGUUUCCUCGUCGUCUCGGCCACCGCGGGCUCCCGCGUCCUGGGGCUCCCCACGGGCUCCCUACGCUGGGGGAGGCGCACCGAUGCUCGGUGCCACCGGAUAUGGUUGAAGAAGAUGACCCCUGGCUUCCCAGGAACCGACGAUGUUGAUCUGCGGUGGGAACCUGAAGAGGGCGACCUCCUCGAGUUGCUGUGAUUUGAACCAACGAGCGGAGACCAGCACCUGCCUUAUGCCUCAGGGGCCUCCUCUACCAGAUCCCCUUUGGCUGGGUCUUCCUCACCGACGCCAGCGUGAGGACUGGUCGGACUUCUGCGCAGACGACCAGAUCAGGCACAAUGCCGCACCAAGCUCAGUUUCAGGUUUCAGCGUGGGAUGGUAGUGGCACAGGCUUCUACCGCUUGGAGAAGGAUAUUUAUUUGAUAAGUUUCCUGAUGUUCUGAUAUUUCCUCAAUCUAGAAUCUUAAUGCAGAUUUGAUGUCAGUUUUAAGAUUUCCCUGCUGUUAGUUGUAAUGCCUUCUGAUAUUAUCCUCUUAACUUCUGCAAGCCAUUUAGCUUGGUAUCUGCUUCUAUAGUUUAGUAUUUAUUUCUAUUUAAGAUGUAAUGUUCUUAGAUGUUCUUCGUGCAUGGUGAAUGAUAUGGCGUCUAUGAUUUUUUAUGGAAUAAGAAAGAUGUUUUCUAUUCAACUGUUAUCUAUUCAUAUGUAUCAUUGGAAUUGAUUAUACUAUUGUACUGUGAUUUUUUUUGCAACCUUUUUGGACAAUAAAUUUGCCACAUUGAAGUUAUAUUUGCAACAUCAGUUAUGUCAUUAUUGUGGUAAUUAUUGUUUCAAAACUAUGUGCUCAAUGCUCGGUAUCUUUUCUUGUUCCUGCAGAAUUCAAAUGGAAUGAUGUUAAUGUGGCCAAGCACCGGAAGAAUUCCUUUGUCAUAUCAUUUAGGCACCUGUUGGCUGAUGGUAGAUGGCAAAAAAGGAUGGAUGGACGAGCCUAUGACACUAAGCUUGUUCUUGGACUUGUGGUUAUAGGUAGCCAGCUGCUGCAAAGUGAUGCCGAACGGAACAGUGCUCACAUGGAGAAGUCAGCAUGUUGCCAUGGCUUUGGACGGGAGAGGUUUGGAUGAUGCAGCAGCAAAAAGGGUACCUAGAGGUUGGUAGCUGAGUCUGGACGGCCGGAAAGACAUUCUUUGGUUCUUGCUUCUACCCAUGAUGGAUGUUGUCUGCUGUAGGGAUAUAGUCAUGCAGUGGUGUACAUUUUGGUCUAGACGAUUCAGUUGCAGCCUCGUUACACUUGUACAUGUGAACCUUGUAUUUAAUUAUGGAUCUUUUCAAAAGAAUUUCAUGUAUUUGUUGGUUCCGGUUAAACUAUCUAUUGUUUAA